rnacentral:tRNA from 1 species
UCUCUGGUGGUCCAGUGGUUAAGUACCUGCAUUUCCACUGCAGGAAGCACAGGUUUGAUCCCUGGUCAGGGAA